rnacentral:lncRNA from 14 species
GGAAGAGUUAGCUGUUAAUUGCAGCCAGUUCUCAGCCUGACUGUCAGCAGGUCCAAGAAGACCUCAGGCCUGUCUGCUGCUUCUCCACUCCCAAGAAAUGCAGUCCUAGUGUCUUGUUCACUGGGUGGCUGUUCCUCUCUGACCUGCUCAGCCUCAGACCACAGAUCCCUAAUCCUGACUGUAUUCUUGUAUCCUAGCAUCUGGAAACAGACAGUGUUUAUUGGGCAGAAGAUACUCCUGUUGGCAGUGGACUAAGCUCCAGGCUUCUCAUCAGACAAGGACAGACUGAUACUCAGUGUACUGAGCCCAAUGGGCUGGAGUCGUUCUCUCCUCAUAGCUGAAGAAGCUGGAUGAAAAUAUCAGGAAAUUUCUGGAAAAGCCUGACAGAAAUCUUUGUCUCCAUCGCCAUAAUAAACUCCUCCUCAAGAUCAGGUUUUACAGACAUGCCAGCAGAAAGGUCCAGCACUUCAGUUGCUGCAUUAGCUGUUGGCCACAUGUAUUGGGUAUGCAUGGCAAGGUUUUGUUGUGGAGGGCUACAGGGGUAGCUUCAGUGAGGAGCCAGUGCCAGCCGGCUCCAAGACAGAUCCACUGCUGGUCAAGGUCGAGCCCAUCGGUGAUGGUGGUAGCACCUCUGGAAUAACAUAUUGAAGAAAGGGGGGAAAGUUACUGUGCAACUGGGCAACUGUAGCUGAAGAAAGAGUGAGAACAUGUGAGAGCAACAGCUCUGCAGACAGCAAGAACAGUGCCAGCAGGAGAGGAGGGGGUGAUCCAGGUGCUGCCUGGAGGUCCACAGUGGAGCAGAUAUGUGGAAGACCACACACCUGAGCAGGGGGAUGCCCAAAGGAGUAUGUGACCCUGUGGAAGCCCAUGCUGGAGCAGGCUCCUGGAAGGACUUGUGGCCCUGAGGAGAGAGGAGCCCACACUGGAGCAGGUUUGCAGCAGGACUUGUGAUACCGUGGGGGACCCACACUGGAUCAGUCUGCUCCUGAAGGGC